rnacentral:rRNA from 1 species
UACAGAGGUCUCGAGCGUUCAACGGAUUCAUUGGGCUUAAAGCGUACGUAGGCGGGUGUGCAGGCGUCGUGUGAAAGCCCUCGGCUCAACCGAGGAAUUGCACGGCGAACCGCACAACUUGAGACAAGUAGGGGCGGUCGGAACGAUAGGUGGAGUGGUGAAAUGCGUAGAUAUCUGGAGGAACACCGGUGGCGAAGGCGGCAUCCUGGACCGAUACUGACGCUGAGGAGCGAAAGCCAGGGGAGCAAACGGG